GGAUUAGAUACCCUGGUAGUCCACGCCGUAAACGAUGAUUACUCGUUGUGCGCGAUACACAGUGCGCGACUGAGCGAAAGCAUUAAGUAAUCCACCUGGGGAGUACGUUGGCAACAAUGAAACUCAAAGGAAUUGACGGGGGCCCGCACAAGCGGAGGAACAUGUGGUUUAAUUCGAUGAUACGCGAGGAACCUUACCUGGGCUUAAAUGCAGUUUGACCGAUCUGGAAACGGAUCUUCUCUUCGGAGCAAAUUACAAGGUGCUGCAUGGUUGUCGUCAGCUCGUGCCG
rnacentral:rRNA from 1 species